UUACUUUAACAAUAAAAUCACAAUAACUGCUUUUUUUUGGCUGUAGGACACAAGUAAAAGGAGAAGAAUGCUGCUCAGCUGGGUCGGCGGUCACACUACUUAUUCAAGAACCUCUUGGAUAUCAUUGGCAUGUAUGCAGCACAGAGUCAUUCCAGUAGGCACGGAGUCGUUCCACGAUGGACGUGAUGACCUGGCACCAAAACCGCUUAAUGUGUAUGAAGCUGUCUGCAUCGAGGGAAGAACCCAGCACUGAAGUGACACAAAUGAAAGAAGGGGACUUCUGCUCUGCUGGGUCUGCGACACUACUUAUCUGAGGAGUCCUCAAACAUCAGGAUGUAGGAA